CGUCGCUGUUGCUUGAAACUAAGCAAACAGACCGAGGCUUAAAUAGCCUUGGGCCGAAGUAAAAAAACGUGCUGGCCAACCACCAAACAGGCGCCAGCCCUACAAGAAAAUUCGGAUGUACGCGCGUCUCAGGUUGAGAUGUGUUCACCC
rnacentral:sRNA from 1 species